GGUUUUGCAUGGCGGUGGGGAACACAGGGAGAAGCUCACCCCUUGCAGUCUGGAUGUGCUAACCCCUACAUUUUGCCAAAUGUGGCAAAUGGAACUGCGUAACUCAUAAUAGCGGAGGACUGCUUUUGCGCUCUCCCUUG
rnacentral:snRNA from 13 species